UACGUAGGGGGCUAGCGUUAUCCGGAAUUACUGGGCGUAAAGGGCGCGUAGGCGGUUCGUUAAGUUAGAUGUGAAAACUCUGGGCUCAACCCAGAGCCUGCAUCUAAUACUGACGGGCUAGAGUUCUGGAGGGGGUAGCGGAAUUCCUGGUGUAGCGGUGAAAUGCGCAGAUAUCAGGAGGAACACCGGUGGCGAAGGCGGUUCUCUGGGCAUUACCUGACGCUGAGGAGCGAAAGUGUGGGGAGCGAACAGG
rnacentral:rRNA from 1 species